rnacentral:rRNA from 1 species
AGGGGAGUGAAAAAGAACCUGAAACCGUGUACGUACAAGCAGUGGGAGCACGCUUAGGCGUGUGACUGCGUACCUUUUGUAUAAUGGGUCAGCGACUUAUAUUCUGUAGCAAGGUUAACCGAAUAGGGGAGCCGAAGGGAAACCGAGUCUUAACUGGGCGUUAAGUUGCAGGGUAUAGACCCGAAACCCGGUGAUCUAGCCAUGGGCAGGUUGAAGGUUGGGUAACACUAACUGGAGGACCGAACCGACUAAUGUUGAAAAAUUAGCGGAUGACUUGUGGCUGGGGGUGAAAGGCCAAUCAAACCGGGAGAUAGCUGGUUCUCCCCGAAAGCUAUUUAGGUAGCGCCUCGUGAACUCAUCUCCGGGGGUAGAGCACUGUUUCGGCAAGGGGGUCAUCCCGACUUACCAACCCGAUGCAAACUGCGAAUACCGGAGAAUGUUAUCACGGGAGACACACGGCGGGUGCUAACGUCCGUCGUGAAGAGGGAAACAACCCAGACCGCCAGCUAAGGUCCCAAAGUCAUGGUUAAGUGGGAAACGAUGUGGGAAGGCCCAGACAGCCAGGAUGUUGGCUUAGAAGCAGCCAUCAUUUAAAGAAAGCGUAAUAGCUCACUGGUCGAGUCGGCCUGCGCGGAAGAUGUAACGGGGCUAAACCAUGCACCGAAGCUGCGGCAGCGACGCUUAUGCGUUGUUGGGUAGGGGAGCGUUCUGUAAGCCUGCGAAGGUGUGCUGUGAGGCAUGCUGGAGGUAUCAGAAGUGCGAAUGCUGACAUAAGUAACGAUAAAGCGGGUGAAAAGCCCGCUCGCCGGAAGACCAAGGGUUCCUGUCCAACGUUAAUCGGGGCAGGGUGAGUCGACCCCUAAGGCGAGGCCGAAAGGCGUAGUCGAUGGGAAACAGGUUAAUAUUCCUGUACUUGGUGUUACUGCGAAGGGGGGACGGAGAAGGCUAUGUUGGCCGGGCGACGGUUGUCCCGGUUUAAGCGUGUAGGCUGGUUUUCCAGGCAAAUCCGGAAAAUCAAGGCUGAGGCGUGAUGACGAGGCACUACGGUGCUGAAGCAACAAAUGCCCUGCUUCCAGGAAAAGCCUCUAAGCAUCAGGUAACAUCAAAUCGUACCCCAAACCGACACAGGUGGUCAGGUAGAGAAUACCAAGGCGCUUGAGAGAACUCGGGUGAAGGAACUAGGCAAAAUGGUGCCGUAACUUCGGGAGAAGGCACGCUGAUAUGUAGGUGAAGCGACUU